ensembl:lncRNA
CUGGAGAUCACUGUGUACCUGAAGCCUUCUGAAGCCAGAUGCAGGAACAGGGCACAGAUACUACUGCAACUACAGAAACAGAGCUAGAACCAUGCCAGGCAGCUGCUGCUGCAGCUACCUGGGUAGCAAAAAGGACAAGUGACUAAACAGAUCACUUGCAGAGUAAUUUCAUAUAUUCCAACCUACUUUAUACACGUUCCUCUUUGACUUAGAGAAGACUGUGAACAGAGCUGUACACAAACCACAGAACUGCUGAAGAUAAUGCAAAGCACGAAAACAGCCUCAGCACUGGAGCAAACCCUGACUGCUUACGUGAUGGCAGUCUGCUACACCAACAGACCGCUCAUGAACGGAGCUCACUUCUUAACGAGCCUCUAAAGAAGACCUCCACUUCCUUUACACAAAAGCACUUGCAAUGAAAUGACUCUCCUUCAGAGACCGUUCACCAGAGCCUGCUUUUCUCAAGGGAGGUGCUGGCUCUCUUUCAGGCCAGGCUGGCAGGACAGCAUGCAUCCACCUUGCACUGCAGCAGCAUCAGAAAUGCCUUCUCUCACAGAUCUCCUCUUCCACUCCUCCCUUCUCUUCCUGCAGAAGGGGAGCAGAGCACAACCCCCUGGUGUGUGCUGGUUUCUCUCAUUUCAUUCCUGCUCUCUGGCCUUCUAUAUCUCACAGCCUUCUCCCACAAACAGGACAUCCUCCCCUUCUUUUUGAAGGUUGCAGCUCCUCCCUCUGCUGAUCUCCAAGGAUGCUAAAUAAUCACAUGUACAGGCCUCUUCCCAGGGAACUGUAGAUGCAGCAAUGUCCCUAUUUUGCAUUUGUCACGUUACUGCUCCUACACGCAUCUAAAUUCAGCUCCAUCAGCUCUCAAAUUUAACUUCAGUGUGAGCAGCUUCAUUUGUAAUGGCUUUAGUAAUGCAAGAAGAAAACUCUGCUUACAGUUGUGCCCAGCGCUAUGUACUGUGUUACCAGAGCACCCUCACCCAGCACACCCUCCCCUUUUAGCAGCUGUGCUGCAUUAAUCUACCCAGCAGGAGGGUCAGCAUUGCUCCCAGCAAAGAAGAGGUCUGGUGAGCCAAAGCAACCAGCUGGGCCAACAGCAGAGAUGGAGUCAGGACUCCUGGGUCCGCUGCAUUUACCCACAAAGUCAUCUGUCAGCAUCAGACUUGAAGAGCUGGAUGAGCUGUUUGAAGAGCCCGCUUCACCCUCAGAUGGAUGCCCAGGCAGGCUGUACAUUAAUGCAGGUACAUCUCAGCCAGCAUGGAAAAAACAGGGCAUUUUGCUGCAUGCACUGCAAGCUGCAGAACUGUAUUCUGGCAGCAAGAAGUUGAUGACUGAAGUUUUAUUUGUUACUGAGCUAGUUGUUAAAUAGUGCUCAUUCCACGUUAAGGAGAGACCAACAAGCAGGUGGCAACACAGAUCAUCUCGAGGCAUUUUCCUUUGGAUAUCUAUAAUUAUAAACCAAUUAUUACCAACUUUGCUCUCCCUCUGCAGUAAAUAAUUAACUGCAAAAGCAUGCUCCUCUCGGCCCCAUCCUCCCUGAUCCAUCUGGCUUCAGGACUACAUGCUGCCAGGACUGCUCACUAUAGCAGUGCACCCAAAGAGGAAUGGUGUGACUUCCUUCACUUCAGCAGAGACCAUUCCUUCCCAGUACAAGGGGGUAUCAUCAUGUAACUCCUAUACUUACAGCAGAUGUCACUUAGAUACAUCAGUUGCAUGAAGAUACAAAAACAGGUCUGCCAUUUGAUCCUGGUCGUUCUCUUACAAUACCAAGACAGUGGAUUAUUCAGUCCAAAUCAGACUGAAUAGGCACAGGGAGAGCAACAAGCAAAAAGAAGUGCUGGAAGAACGCUCCAGAAUGGCAGGAACACCCUUCUCACAACAGCUAGAAUGCCAGGGAGAGGCAGAGCAGCACUGCCACUGAGCAAACAUCUUCACACAGUCACUGGUUUAGUUCAGCUGGCGACAAAGAGUUGAGUCAAAAUCUCCACUAAGGUGGAGUAAAAGGGGAAAACGGCUCAUUUAGACUCAAAAAGAGAGGCUGAAAAAUAAGGCAGAGGAAAGAAUGAAAGAAAGGCCAUGAUAUGCUGAGAGAUAACAGUAUAGGGAGAAAGAAAAAGGGGAAGGGAAAAAAAUAACUGAAAUAGAUUCUAAGAAUGGCUCAUGGAAAAUGAGAAAAGAGAAACCAUGAAAAAGUAGAAUGAAAACUAGAAAGACAAUGAGAGAAAGAGGAAUGGGACAGGGCAGAGCAGCUGACCAGCACUUAGCAAAUGUCAUUUGUUUAAUCUCAUCAUAUUUGUCAAAUAAUGUACUUGAUUAAUAUUCCUUUUUGGCCUCCAAUGAGCCGUACAGCUGAUGAAAUACCAUUUUGUACACUUAAAAGCAUCGAGUGCAUUCGACUCUUACCAAUAUUAAUCUAAUAGUACAUCUAUCUGCUGGCUCUAAGUUUACACUUCAAAAAAAGGAAUGUUAAAUACAAAGCUGGUAAUAAAUUACCAUUAGGUACAAGAGCCUGGGGUGCAACCGUGCUGCUCUCCUGGGCUGCCCGAAGCAGAGCAGCACAACACACCUUGAAAGAUGGCAAGCUGGGGCCUGGCUAGCAUUCCUGCCCCUUCCCUUCUUCACCAGGAACUCUACACAGGGCAGCCUUUGCCUCAGUUUUCACUGUGUUGAUUUUUUUUUUUCCCUCACGUUCAACUUCAGAAGGCUCUUUUCACUCCAAUGCAUGGAGUUUUGGGUCCCGGUGACAAGCAAUGGGGACAGCCCAGCCUGGAUGAGCAGGAAGGCUGGAGGGCAUCCAUGCUGUUGGGCUGUCAUUUUGGGAAUUAGGUGUUUGGAAGCUGCACUUCACCUCCCCGAAAGGUCAGGGAAGUUUGGUGGAAGACAGCCAUGUGGCAAACGGUGCUUUAGUACCACUGCUCUCCCGGGGGAUGCUUCCUGAGGG